AUGUCUUCAGUCGGAUCAGGGGCUUCGUCUACAGCAGCAACCACAACUGGUAGAACAAGAAAAGAUGCAGCAUGGGAGCAUGCUUUACCAAUUACUGAUGAGUUUAGGACCAAGAACAGAGUUGGGUGCAAAUAUUUCUUGAACUUUUAUAAUGGUGGCAUUACAAGAUUUAAGAAGCACUUGGCUGGACUGAGAAAGGACGGUGUACCUUGCACGCAUGUUCCUGGUCAUGUUAGAGAGCAAAUGAGUGCAUUGAUAGCUGAGAAUGAUAAAAAGAAGGAUAAAUCACUAAACAAAAUGUUGGCGCUGCGAGAGGAGGUCAGAGGGAUGUAUCAUCAGGGUGGGAAUGAGGAUGAAGAUUGUGAAAUUGUUGAGUUUUCUCCUGCAGCAAGUGGAAGCUCUCAACUUCCUAAGAAGCCUAUGAUCAAGGGUCCAAUGGACAGGUAUCGUGCACGGCCAGGAGCAGGGAAACAAACAACAAUGAAUGUUCAUUACAAGAUCAAAGAAGCAAAGACAACUUAUGAUUAUAUCUGCGAGUUCUUCAUUGAGGGUGCCCUUGCACAUAAUCUUGCUAGUCUUAAAUCAUUUGCUCGAAUGGUGGAAGCAAUUGGACAGUUUGGUCCAGGAUUGAAGCCACCGACACCUUAUCAGCUUGCCAAUCCUUUGUUGAAGAUACAAGUUUGCAAGGUUCACGAUGCCAAGUUCAUCUUCAGCUUGGUCAUGUCUUGCAUAUCUGAAAUUGGUGCUGAAAAGAUUGUUCAAGUAGUCACGGACAAUGCAAGUAACAAUAUUGCAGCAGCCAAAUUACUUAAGCAGAAGCAUCCUCAAAUAUUCUGGACCUCAUGUGCAGCCCACACAAUCAACCUAAUGCUCCAAGACAUUGGAAAUAUACCCAUAGUGAGCUCAACAAUUACCAAUAGUUUGUAUGGGAAGAGGAAGCAGCUGAAGCUAAUGUUUGCAUCAAAUGAUUGGGCUGGCAGUAGUUAUGCUAAGAAGCCAUUGGGCAAACGUGUGUACAAGCUCGUAAUGGACAAUAAGUUUUGGGCCAAGAUAAACCUGCUAGUGAAUUAUUUUGAGCCACUUGCCAAUGUGCUUAGGCGGGUUGAUGGAGACACUCCAGCCAUGGGGUUCUUAUAUGGUGAUCUUCUCCAAGCAAAGAAGGAAAUAGCAGUCCAGCUCAACCAUGUUGAGAAAAAAUAUGGUCCUAUUUGGGAGAUCAUAGAUAGAAGGUGGGAUAACAAGAUGAAAACAACACUGCACAAAGCUGGUUAUUUUUUGAACCCUUUCUUCUACUAUGAUAGACAGAGUGAAAUGGCUGAAGAAGAUUUCAUGGAAGCAGCCAUAGAGUGUGCAUCUGUUAUGUACAAAAAUAACAUAGAGGUGCAAGAUAAUAUUGUCUCCCAGCUUAGUUAUUAUACUGAAGCCAUAGAUUCAUUUGGAACUGACAUGGCCAUUAGACAACGCAAAGUAGCAACUAUCACUCCUGCAAGAUGGUGGACCAUGCAUGGAACUUCUGCAAAGGACUUGAAGAAGAUGGCUAUUAGAAUCUUGAGCUUAACUUGCAGUUCUUCGGCAUGUGAAAGAAAUUGGUCUGCAUUUGAGAGGAGGGAAAGGGACCCACCGCUUCCAAAAUACAUUGAAGAUGAGCCACCAAAUGAGUGGAUGUUGGAUGAAGAGCUACUACAAGAUGAUGAGUCAUCUGAAGAUGAAGCUGAAAUUGACAUCAAUUCAAAGGGGAAACAAAAAUCUGUAGCUUCAAGAACUAGAGGCAAAAGAGCUCGUACAAAUCAAGAUGUUGAAGAUGAGGAGGAAGAGGAGGAAGUGGCAGAAGAAGAGGAAAUGGAAGAAGAGGAUGAGAACCAAGAAGCUGAGGAGGACAAUGAUGAAGACCAAGAAGUGGACAUCGAUCUGACUGUUGAAGAUGAAGAGGAUGGUGAAUGA
rnacentral:rRNA from 1 species